UAAGCGGGAAGCCAACUCCAAGAUGAACUCUCCCUGAAGUACGCUUGAAGACUACAAGCUUGAUAGGCUGGAUGUGUACGCAUAGCAAUAUGUUUAGCUGACCAGUACUAAUAGUACGUUCGUCUUUUUUUA
rfam:Sulfurimonas sp. GWF2_37_8 gwf2_scaffold_12701, whole genome shotgun sequence.